GGGGAGGUCGCUACUUCGCGGAUUUUCAUUUAUCGCGGGUGGUUUUGGUCCCCAUUUAAAUUGUCCUCCCAAAAUAGAGCGAGCUAAGUGGACGGCUAAUGCUAACGAAAAGUCACGUGCGCGGGCACCUGUGAGCGUAAUGCCGACAGCUUCGCGGGUUUAAUGGUCAACGAGGCAACCUCGCGUGGGCAAAACAAGCGUGGCUGGUGUGGGUGAAACGAGGCACACCAACAAGGGUGUUGUUGGUGUUGUACCCACAAGGGUGGAAACUCAAGUCUGUACAACAGAGGUAGCGAACUCCGGUUCCUCGAGAGCCAUAUCCUGCCUGUUUUCGAUUCCUCCCUCCUCCAACACACCCGAUUCAAUUGAGGACGAUCUUUUUAGGCCACGACGGAAUUUGCUGACGAGCUGAUCAUUCGAAUCGGGUGGCUCUAAAACAGCGCAGGAUAUGACUCUCGAGGAACCGGAGUUCCCUACCCCUGCUGUACAAUAUGUCCCACUUGGAAAAGGUGGCAGCGGUUUGACCGGGAGAGUGACGUCAUGGAGCAGGUGGUCUGAAGUCCAAACCCGAAUGACGUCGCCUCGGCUAGCUCGGCGAUAGCUGUUGACGUUGGCCGCGCGAGAAUGGCCGUUUCCAGUCGACUCGACAAACAAGUAUCGAUAAAUGUACGCGUGUUUCUUAUAAGAUUAAAUUCAGGCGGCUAUCCGCUCUCACUCGACACCCCCCCAACCUCCCACGUUCCUUAACCUAGCUACAUGCUAGCUUACCCUAGCUAGCCACGUUAGCACGUCGAGCUAACGAGCUACUGCCUGUUUUUCUGUUAUCAACGUCACCGCCAAGUAGAUACGCGCGGGGUGGAUGCAGCAAGAAAGCCUGCAGUUGAGAGCUGCCUGCGUGAUGGUGGUUCGGGAGUCCCUGAACGCAUCAGCCAGGAAUGACACACAUCUGGAAUAGCUUGAG